UACGUGAGCCCCAAGCGUUACCCGGAUUCACUGGGCGUAAAGGGUGUGUAGGCUGCUCUGUUAGUCGCCUGUUAAAGACCGGGGCUCAACCCCGGAAAGGCGGGCGAAACGGCAGAGCUAGAGGGCGCGAGAGGUCUGCGGAACUCAUGGUGUAGGGGUGAAAUCCGUUGAUAUCAUGGGGAACACCGAAAGCGAAGGCAGCAGACUGGCGCGUUCCUGACGCUCAGACACGAAAGCCAGGGUAGCGAACGGG
rnacentral:misc_RNA from 1 species